UCGAAUCCAGUUCCCAUGUUGGUCGAGGUUUCUUUAUCUUGUGGAUUCUUUUCACCUCAGAUAUGUGUAAUCUGACCUUGUGAUUUCUUUUUGUCACCUUUCAGGCUUCAGGAGGAAGGGUGCAAGGAACACAACACUGAGGCAGAUUCAAGGGUGCCCACAUUGGCAUCGUCAUCGACUGGUUCCUGCUCUCCCCCCCC
rnacentral:lncRNA from 1 species